rnacentral:misc_RNA from 1 species
AGUUUGUGGCUUUAUUGGUUGCCUAUCCGAAAAUACAUUGAACCAGCUACAGUUCUUUCUAUAGUGAAGUGGAAGCUCCCAUAUUGAAGCAGCUUGGUGCAGUUGGCCAAUAAAGUUAGGCAAAGUGGGAGCUCCAAGUCAUGCUUUGCUUAGUAGUUGUGUGGCACAGUGGAGGCAUGAAGGCAAACCAGCACAGAAGGCUUUCUGUAAUUGUGAUGCAGCUAGCUCCUAUCAGCCAAUCAUAUAGAGCAAAGUUUAAUUUCUUCCUUUCAGAAUUAAACAAGCAUCGGAAAAAGAUAUAAAUAGGCGCAUGAGAUGGAAAAUACAGUAACCAAGGCAGGAGGAACAGAACCCUAAUGCUUGAGCCAAGAAUUCUAGGUGCCGGAGUGAACCUGAGUGCACGAUCUCCGGUGAAGCUCCGUGGAAGCAGAGCCGUGGGCACAGCCUAUUGGAGCGAAGAAACGAAGAAGCAGAUAGGAUUAGA